rnacentral:rRNA from 1 species
UAACCCCCCGUGUUUUUCCUUUCCAACCGCGAGUGAUCGGCAAAAGUUCUAUUUUGAAAUCUGGCACCUUCGGUGCCCGAGUUGUUUUUGGAGAGGGUACUUUGGGGCCGUUCCUUGUCUAUGUUCCUUGGAACACGACGUCAUAUAGGGUGAAAAUCCCGUGUGGCGAGGAGUGCCGUUCUUUGUAAAGUGCCCUCGAAGAAUCCAGUUGUUUGGUAAUGCACCUCUACAUUGGCGGUCUAUUCCCUUUAAUUCUAAAUACCGCCCACAUACCGAU